rnacentral:rRNA from 1 species
GUCUACAGCCAUAUCACCCUGAACGCACCCAAUCUUGUCUGAUCUCAGAAGCUAAGCAAGUUCGGGCCUGGUUAGUACUUGGAUGGGAGAAGAAACUCGCAAGGGAUCUUGCUUACUCAGUCACUGUGCAAA